rnacentral:lncRNA from 1 species
ACAGAUUCAACUUCGUCUGAGUUAACAGCUUCUCCAUUUGGGGGGUCGUCUGACCGCAGCUGAGUGGAUACAUUGUCUAUAGCAGAGUUGAGCUGUUCGAUCUUCUCAGCCAGCUUCUGACGUUGCUUCUAUUAAUGGGACAGCAUGCAAAUGUUUCACAAAAGAUAAAUGAGUAAGGAACAUGCCUCUAUGACAUUGGUGUUACAUCAAUGAUGAAGCAAAUCAGUGCAUUUGUUAAAUAUUUGGCAGGAAUUUAUAUCAAUAUUGCAGUUUUAGUUUAUUACCAAGUUAUUCCAUAGUCUAGUCUGAAGAUUCUAUUAAAGCAAAAAUAAUUAUCUUGACUCUACUGUAUUCUCAUAAGAUGAUGCACACUAACUAAUAAUCCUCCCAGUGCUACAUCAUAGGCACACUUUACUCAUAAGAGAGAGAAAAUCAACCAGUCGACCUUAUAGUUGCCCUGGAACCAGGAUAUCUUGGAUUGCAGGAUUCUACAUCCACAUUUUGAAAAGUUCAAUGAUGGCAGGAGGUUCCUAGGUCUAUCAAUAGAGGGAGGAAAAAAGGACUUUGUUUGACCAUUAAACUUAGGUAUAUCUUAAAUAAACAGCCUUAUGAAAUAUUUGUAUUGAACUACACCAAAAUAGGCUAGUAAUAGAAUCCAGUAGCAGCCAUGUACAGUUUGGACGAGGUAUUGUUUGGUUGAUGUUUCAAGUUUUUAUCCCUUUAUUUUUUAUUUUCUUCUUUUCUUCCAAGUUCAAACUCAUGAAUUAACCCUUAUCCAGUCUCAUCAACUCAAAAUAUAUCAUGAGGUUUGGAUAAAAAUUAGAAUUUUUUUUUGGUAGAUUUUGAUAAAAGUUGGUGAAACUUGUGGUUAAUAAGUUGAUAAAAGUUGUGUGUCCCAUAAAAUGUAUAAAUGAAAAUGAAUUUGGGAAAAAAAAUGAGUUUUCAAGAAAUGGGAGCCACACGGGCAUAGUUUCAGUUGAUAAGAUAGAAAGAGACUAAGAGAAUAUUUGAUGUAGAUAUUUUGAUAAUAGAUGUUGUGAAAAGUGAUUUUGUUAAAAAACCUGGUUAAAAAUAGGGAAUAAUUAUAGGUCUACAUGCAAAAUAUUUUAUUGGAGGUAUAUAUUGUUGAAAAUGAGUUCAAAAAAAAAAAAAAUGAGUUUUAAAAAACUCUACCAAAUAGCAGCUAAAUUGUUGACAUCGGAAUGCUUUAGAAUCUAGAAGUCGGGUUGAGUAGAUUCAAGACCCAAUACAUGCAAUGCCUUGAAUAAUAGUAGGAUCAAACAUAUCAAUGAAGUUACUAUGGACAAUCAUGUCAUCUGCAAAACAAAAUAAAAAAUAAAAAAAUUCUCUUUUUAAUGGGCAUCAAAUGGGUGCUAAGUUUGAUGUAUGAGCAAACUAAAAUAGAAAAGAUUAAAAUGAAAAUAUUAUCCAACAAAUGGAGUUGAUAUUGAUUGAUGAGGACAAAUUAAAGAAAUGAUGACUUAGGUGGUUAGGACGCGAUUUGCAUAGACCUAAAGAGGUUCACGUUCAUAGAAGGGGUUAAAAGAGGGCGGGGCAAACCAUAACUAAAAGGCUAAUGAUCCAGUUGUUUUCCAAUACAUCUAAAAUGAACCAAACGAAUUGGUAAAAAAGGAUUCAUGUAGGUAUCCCAAAUUUAUUCGAAACAAAGUUUCUUUGUUGUUUAUAGUUGUUUUCUUUAUAUGUUUUUUGUUCGGAUGGGAGGGAGAGUAAGAGAGGAUUGCCUUUUGGCAAUCUCUAGAGUAGCUACAAUGACUUCCACAUAAUUAGAAAAGGGUAAUUAGCACAAAACAUCCCUACCUUUCGAUGUUUUUGUGGAAAACGUCCCUACCUUUCAUUUUUUGGCGGAUUACACCCUUACCUUUACCUUUUUUUGCGCAAAACGUCAUUCUGUCAACUCUCCGUUAAAAUGCUCCGUUAAAUCAAAAAGGUAAUUAGCACAAAAGGUCCCUACCUUUCAAAGUUAUUAUGCAAAACAUCCCUACCUUUUAUUUUUUAGCAUAAUUAGCAGAAAAGGUCCCUACCUUUCAAUAUUAUUGUGCAAAACGUCCCUACCUUUCAUUUUUAGCAUUUUUACCCCUACAUUUCACAUUUCAUUGUGCAAAAGGUCCUUUUCAUUCAUUUUUUCAAUAAAAUGACGAUUUUACCCUCCUAUUGAAAUAAAACAAAAAGAAAAGAAAAAAAUAAUUAAUUAAUUGCAAUCAUAGUUCUAAAUCUUUCAAAACAUUACAGAUAAAUCAUAAAUUCUCAACCACCACCAUUUUCACAACCUAUCAAGCUGCCAACUAUAAAUCCACAUAAUACCACCUUUCGACCACCAUGCCCACCGGACUCCACCACCGUAAAUGUGAUUGUUUCGGACAGAUUGGUGAUCAAUACUAUGACGGAGGAUAUUGGGGAGAGUGAGGCGACACUGGUGGUGGUGGAGUCCGAUAGGUGUUAUGGUCGAAAAGUGGUGCUAUAUGGAUCUAUAGGUGGUGGCUUGGUGGGGUUGUGAAAGUGACGGCAGUGGAGAAUUUAGGAUUUAUUUGUAAUGUUUUGAAAGAUUUAGAACUAUGAUUGCAAUUAAUUAAUUAUUUUUUUCUUUUCUUUUUGUUUUAUUUCAAUAAGAGGGUAAAAUCGUCAUUUUAUUGAAAAAAUGGAUGAAAAGGACCUUUUGCGCAAUGAAAUGUGAAAUGUAGGGGUAAAAAUGCUAAAAAUGAAAGGUAGGGACGUUUUGCACAAUAAUAUUGAAAGGUAGGGACCUUUUCUGCUAAUUAUGCUAAAAAAAUAAAAGGUAGGGAUGUUUUGCACAAUAACUUUGAAAGGUAGGGACAUUUUGUGCUACUUACCUUUUUGAUUUAACGGAGCAUUUUAACGGAGAGUUGACAGAAGGACGUUUUGCGCAAAAAAAGGUAAAGGUAAGGGUGUAAUCCGCCAAAAAAUGAAAGGUAGGGACGUUUUCCACAAAAAUAUCGAAAGAUAGGGAUAUUUUGUGCUAAUUACCUAUUAGAAAACAACACAAUUGCAGGCUUUAGAUAAAAUUUUCACACAGUUGACAUCUUGCAUGAAAAAUAUCACUUCCAAUUACUAACAACUUAUAGUAGAUAACAAAGCAGCUCUUGAAUUCAUUUGCAUUUAUUAUUCAAAGUCGUGGAAAACCUCAUGCAAUAAAAACCAAGGUUCUUCUAUGUACCAUAUGAAAUCUAACAUGGUGAAAUUAUGUUUGGCUCAAACAUUGACACGUGAAAAUGGGCAAAAAAAUAAACUUAUUUUGCCAAGUUGCAUAUAAAUGGGAGACUAAAUUUUUUAAUUGUACAGUAUGACUAGCGCAGUUUAGCAAGCAAGAAAAUAUGCAGACAUAAAGGAUCUCAACGCUUAAAAACUAGUUUUCAUCAGAAGAAGAUGCUACAUUGGAAGAGAUUGCUCCCCCAAUUAAUUAUAAAAAGGCAUACUUACCUCCAAAACUUUUUCUUCAUCAUAGAUGAAUUUGGGCAAUUUCUUCAUGAGAUCCUUUUUAUCAGCCCCAGCUAAAGCCUUGCUGAUCUGUGAAAAAGAGAAGAGACCAGCUGAAUAAUGUUCUAUACAACAGUUU